AACCAGCACCUCGAGUGGUCAGGAGGUUUAUUGGGCCUAAAGCAUCCGUAGCCGGUUGCAUAAGUUUUCGGUUAAAUCUAUGCGCUCAACGUAUAGGCCGCCGAAAAUACUGUGCAGCUAGGGAGUGGGAGAGGUACACGGUACUCAAUAGGAAGGGGUAAAAUCCUUUGAUCUAUUGAUGACCACCUGUGGCGAAAGCGGUGUACCAGAACACGUUCGACGGUGAGGGAUGAAAGCUGGGGGAGCAAACCGG
rnacentral:rRNA from 1 species